GCUGGAUGUAGUGGUGCACACCUGUAAUUCCAGCUACUCGGGAGGCUGAGGCAGGAGGAUCUCAUGUCUGAGGCCGGUCUGGGCAACUUAGAUCCUGUCUCAA
rnacentral:sRNA from 1 species